CUGAAGCGAAGCUUACCCCCUUGGGUGACUGACUGUCGUGAUCUGUAAAUGAGUUUUGAGUACGUAUCCUCGCCACGCUGCAAGGUCAACAUUGGACAGCGGGGUUAGCAGGGGAGAUAUAUGCGUGUUGAAAUUCACGUGUGUGUGUCUUGGAACACAGGCUGCACACUGGAGUGGAAAGAGGUGCCACUACUGUUGUCUAGAGUUAGCUAACGUCUGAGGUUCAGUUCAAUGAAGUUGAGCAAUCCGAGCUUGAGCCUGGGUACUGUCGCUGGGGGUAGCCCCUACCAGUGUUUAUCAGGUGCUAACGAAAACUGUUAAAGCUGAUGGUUUCUGUCAGACAAAGAAAUAGGGAAAAGUUCUCAUUCUGUCUGGUUGUAAUUGUAAAUGUACUAAAUCCUCGAAGAUAAAAAAAAAAUCAGUAUUAAUGCUGUUCUUUAUUAAGUUCAGUCGGGGAAAUAAAAACCCACAACAAAAAUAAUUUUAUUUGUGUUCGGUCUCAUCAUUCUUGAGCAGGCC